AAAUGUCAUGCGUUUAAACACAGACCCCAAAAUAAGAAAACUAACUGACCCUCUUAAUUAAAAAAAUAUGGAUUGUAAGAUAAUCAGCUUGAUGGAGCAUUUGGGUGAGUGUAAAGAACCGGGCAAAGGGAAAGUAAGUAACUGUUACUUUUCUGCCUCUAUGCUGAUUUUUUUUAAUUUAGCACUUCGUGCAAAUCCAGAUUAAAAUAACUCCAGCUAUUGAUCCGAGCAGUGGAAUUGACAUUAAUUUUAGUUCACUUCUCACUUUGCAAAGGGAUCAAUAGGAAGUAAUAACAGCUGACAUCCCCGCUGAAAGGAGGAGAAAGAAGGGCUGAAGACAGAAAUCGAAAAGCAACCAAAUAAAUCAUCAGCUACUUUUCCACGGCAUCAGACAAACUCCAAACAGAUUGCAAAAAGUCUUUGUUGAAUUAACUAAACAAGGAGGAGGGAUCAAUCCACGAAGCUAAAUAAAUUGUCUGGCAGGCAGUGAGGUUGGACGGAGGGAACCAACACAUAUUGAGUUUUUAAAAAUUUCAAAUCCUUGACGUGAUGGGUUUGGUUCGGGGCUGUAUGGGUGGGAGUUUGUUUGUUUGUGAAAUCACACACCCGACCCUGGUUUAAAGUGAUUACAAAACGCCGGCUAACUGAAUAAUUAGGGAGAUUACUAAUUGCGUGGUUAAACAUGCCAGAACCAAGACAAAUGAAACGAAGGAGCUGGCGUUGGGAACGUGAACAUGUCUGAAGCUGGGCUGAUGCGCGGCGCUCGGCGGCGCGGACCAGCCUCUUUCGCCCUGAAAAACCGAAAGCCAGAGAGAAAGUCUCAGAGAGCGGGCCGCCUCCCACCCCCGCCUCGGACCAGCCCUGUCCAGGGUCUGGGCUUCCUGACCCGCGCCUGGGAUCCGCGUAGAAGGAAGCGGCGCUGCUGCGACUGCUGCUGCUGCUGCUGCUGCGGCUGGCCCCGGGUUUGUGCUCGCGAGCUGCCUGGGAUUGCAUGUACAGAUCAAGAGACUCGGUUGGUGUGAGAGAAGGAGCAGUGCUGCCUCUCAGCGCUGGCUCUAAUCAGUGAAUGAGCCUCCACUCUCCCAGGGACUCGGAGACACACACACGCGCGCACGCACACACACGCACACAUUCUCUCACACUCACACACAUACAGGCACUCUGAGCACUGAAUACAUUAGGGCACUAAGGGACUCUGGGAAAUGGAG
rnacentral:lncRNA from 1 species